UGCAAUUAGCGGUUUAAGGUCCUGGAUUCGAUCCCCGGGGAGAACCCCGAAUUAGUCGGGAGCGCGAGAUUAUGGCUAGCUGCUGAGAUGUGGAGUUGAGGUCACAGUUGAUGGACCAGAUUCGCACGCUGGAUUGGUGGCGAUUGCCGAACCCUCCGUCUCUUCGGAUGUUCGGGUGAAUGGAUGAGGAGGGGUCCCUGAAGGCUGGAUCCGCCGCCUUGGACUUACAGUUCGUAUGGCGAAGUACAGUGUGGUAGUGGUGGAUGGUGCUAUAAGGUGAUAAAUCGUAGAACUGACAAUGUGAUAAAGCGGCCCAGAAGCCUCCCACUCUGUAACAAUACAAAUACAAUACAAAUACAAAUACAGACAGACACACAUACAGACACACUUUUCACGUGCACGUGCUUAGCCGAUUUGCCCCUUACAAGGCAACGGGUUGCGAGGGCAGCCCGUCUACGUGACGACCAAUCGCUUCCUGCCGCGCGCGGCGGGCGCAAACAAGGCAAUCUCCUUCUGCAAAGUAGUUGAACACCAAGCACGGCAUUACGCACAUGCUUCUUAUCAUAUGUGUACAUAAACGAGAUGGAAAAGCCAUUAUUCUGGAAGUACGCGCAGUGGCUGGGAAGGUAAUCGGCAUAGAUUGCAGGUACGUGCGUGCGUUCGUGUGGUACGACGCCAAGAAAGCAUGAGAUGUGUGUGUUACACGGUCGUGGGGUGCCCUCCCCGCACCUGCAAACCGCCCAAUACGAGCCGAGGCUUAAGACAGCAUGAGAUGU
rnacentral:lncRNA from 1 species